CUGAUACCGCCCAAGAGUUCAUAUCGACGGCGGUGUUUGGCACCUCGAUGUCGGCUCAUCACAUCCUGGGGCUGAAGUAGGUCCCAAGGGUAUGGCUGUUCGCCAUUUAAAGUGGUACGCGAGGCAAUAACAUCGGCGGUACGGGCCGCGUG
rnacentral:rRNA from 1 species